rnacentral:misc_RNA from 1 species
CGAAAACAUGCAGUCAAGCAUUACAAUACCACUGUACAUGCUUUAAGAACAUCUGGGAACUAACCAAGUUUAACACUAAUGAUAAUGUACAGCAAAACAGUAAAGCAGUUUCAAAUACCUGGCAUCAUCUGUGGGUAAAGAUGGUGGCUAAAACGAGUCGAUCUUCCCCGUCAGAAGCGGAUGCAGCUUUAGUUUAACCGUUAAUGCGUUCAAAUGAACCUAGAAUUCUAUGGAUCCGCCUUCUGUCUUUUUAGAGGUGGCACGAUGAAGUUGAUCUUGAUGGGGUUGUUUUUCUUCGGUGGUGGCUUCAGGAUGUUAGUUAAAGCAUUAGCACCUCUUAUUUCAAUGGCUGCCUUGUCAUAAGCCAAAGCAGCUUCUAAAGCAGUAUCAAAAGUUCCCAACCAAAGCCGAGUUUUCUUUCUUGUAUCUCGAAUCUCUGCUGCCCACUUACCCCAUUUUCGUCGUCUAACUCCCCUGUACUUAUUCACAUCUUCUUGCAUCAGAUUCGAAGCUUUCUUCUCUUUGGACUUCUUCUUUGAAAUGUCCUUGGUCUUUCCAUUCUCGAUGAUGAUUUCCUUUACGCACGUCCUUUCAUGUCCCUCGGACUUCUCUUCUUCAUCCUUCUCCUCCUCGUCACUAGACGAGUCUGUUGUGUCAUGGUCCGGCGCGUGAAUACGUACAAGACGUGGAAAGACUUGGGAAAUUUCGCCCACUUGAUUGCUGGAUUUUUCAACUAGGGCAAUUACUGAGGGUUCUUUGACUCCCUCUUUUACCUGAAGCUCUUCCUUGGGGGUCAUUGCUCUUAUUUCAAUGGCUGCCUUAUCAUAAGCCAAAGCAGCUUCUUCAGCAGUGUCAAAACUGCCCAGCCAAAGUCGAGUUUUGUUUUUUGUGUCUCGGAUCUCUGCUGCCCAUUUGCCCCAUCUCCGUUGUCUAACUCCUUUGUACUUCUUCGCAUUUUCUUGGAACAUCUUUAUAUCUUUCUUCUCUUUGGACGUCUUCUUUGAAAUGACCCUGGUCUUCCCAUUCUCAAUGAUGAUUUCCUUUAUACACGUCCUUUUAUGUCUCUUGGACUUCUCUCCUUGAAGCUUUUCCUCCUCGUCACUAGAUGAGUCUGUGGCGUCACUGUCCGGCAUGUAAAUACGCACAACACGCGGCAAGACAACAGAACUUUCACCCACUGGGUUGAUAGAUUUCUCAACUCUGGGAAUUUCUGAGGGUUCCUCGACUGCAUCAUUUUCCUUAUGUUCAUCCUUG